AGGUGGAGAGGGUUCAGAGGGAUGUCAUAACCGCUGACAGGGAGGAGAGAAAGAGAAGGGAAUAAAGAUCAGAGUGAUGCAAUAUAAACGUACGAAAGCAACAAAAGCACAGAGAGCCAUUGACUAUAGAGCAAUUUAAGAAAAGAUCCUGCGGUGGUGCAGCAGGCGAUGGAGGAAGUAGUGCCAGGUGUCUUCAACAACAGCACAACCAAAGCACUGAGCCAGGAGGUACGGCCUGGAGAAAAACAGAGGGAGAGAAAAACUCAGUGAGUUAACGCCCCGCCAAUUGGCGUUUUAAUGCAAGAGACCACAGCAUCAACUAACAGCAUACAAUAUGAUUCAUAUGCAUACAAAGGGGGAAAAAAAGGGAUGUCUAAGUUCAAAAUAAUCAGCUAUAUAAUAAUAAUAAUAAUGUGGAUUAAUACAUGUCCAUGAAAGAGUUGAACUGCGUGUAUACUGGCUAUAUACUAUUAUUAGUAUUAACAAAUUAAACUUUAUUCUGUUCUGGAUGUCCGUUCUUCUAUUUGCUAUUUUCUUAUGUGUUGUGUUAUUUUUCAAUUGGGCCUUAUUAAGUUUUUUACCCUGUGUUGUUGUUGUCCCUUCAUGUCCUUGUUUGUUGCUGGACUGUUUGUUCUUUUGAUCGUUUUCCUGGUUUUGUGUAAUAUAUUGCUCUUGUUCUUUUUUGUACACUGUAGUCAAUAUUUUGUCAAUAAAGUUGAAAAAAAAACUUGCUACUACCUACAAAAAGAAAACAAUAUUUUUUGCAACCCUAUAAAGUUCAUGGUUC